UUGAUCCAACCAAAUCAAUUAUAGCUUGGCAAGUAUUGGUCGGAGUGCAAGCCCAAAGCACUAACGAUAACAUUUUAAGUUUAGGAUUUUUAACGCUAAAACCCCUCAAGUAAGUUUCAUUCGGACAUAAACCCCUCAAGUAAGUUUGUAACGUAAAACCCCCCAAGUCUGUUUUCUUUAAUGUAUUAGCCCUUCCGUCUACAGUGACGUCAAAAGCUGAGUUUUUGUCGUUAAGUUUAACCGCUGCGUUUUAGGGAUUUAAAAAAACGUCACGUGUUUCAUAUGUUCUUCUUUUCAAACCAAAAAUCCCUAAAUCGAAAAAUUAGGGUUCAUCCAAGUUCCUUUAGAUCUUCCUUCUUCUUCACUUAUUCGUUGUUCAGAGUGAAUGAGUUGAUAGAGCUGAAUUUGAUUUCUUGGCCAACAAGCAAUGGUAGAAAAAGAGCAUGGAAAAAGACUUGUUUCAUAUGAAGAAAGACAUGUGAGAUUAUUGGUGUCUAAGAGUAUUAAAGCAAUUUUUAGAAUUUUGGUGUCUUUUGAUCAUUCAGUUGUCGUUAAUUCUUGCUGUCUUUUGAUCAAAUUAUUGUCCUUAGUUGUUGUUGUUAUUUGAAAAAAUGUUAUUGGUGAAUUAUGCUUCUUGACAGUCAUCUGGGGUUGCUUAAUUGUUUAGAUUAUGUCAUUUUAAGAGACGAAUGUUGUCGGUGCUUUAAAGAUAGAAAACAGAGAAUCAUAAUAACAUCAAAAGAAAUAUGGUUUUACUAAGAACCAUGUGUUUACAUGAAUUUUCAUAGUAGGGAUGUUUUAUAAAGACCUGAAAAAAAAAGAUACUUUUCUGUGAGUGUUUGUCGUGUCUCAUGAGGUCUGGGCUGGAGUUGGGCUGGUUCGUCAAAGCCUAGAUAGUGGAAGGCGUCUUUACUAAAGCAGGAACAGGGUUUCAGGUUUAUCUGUGAAACGAACGCCAAGGCCUGUUUAGUGAAACGACGUUGUAUUGAUUAAAUGAAGAUAUUUAUUAUAUCUUCAUCUUCCUCAUGAAAAUAGAGGUUGUUACGAGUUUGUUACGACGAGCAGAGCCAAAGGAGAAUCACAGAGAGAAAGAGUCUUAUCUUUGAGGUGAUCACGACGGAGGAGGUGGAGAAGCUGAUCGCACUUCAUCUCAUCAAGGAAUCUGAUUACCUGGAGUGUAUUUCAGAGGUAGUCUCUAUACUAUCAUCUUGGUGUGAUCCUCGUUAGAUUGUGGUAGAGAUACCAAGAUUUUGUAUGUGAUUCUAAGUGGCUAGUGAUUGCUUGAGAGUUUUGAUCUCUCCCCAGACAGUAGUAGUCUGGGUAAACAAACCGUGUGUGUUGAUUGCGUUUAUCUUUU